CUGGACCAGACCAUCUCCAGAGGUUCGUGCCAACCUCAGCCGGGCUGUGACUCUGCAGUACCUUGGCCUCUCAUUCUCUGUUUUCCAUAAAACCUCAAUGUUCAAUAUUCCCAAGCGACGCUACACAAAACACACCAACACAAUGAACGCUGAUGAUCAGGUGCAAAGUGAGGAAGGAGGGAGCUGCUGGGAGGAAACACACAGGUCCACAAUGGAACAAGAGCAAACAGAAACAACUAAAAAAGAAUGUGAUGAUGUCUGGGCCUAAGUAUCAAAUCAAAGUUUGUUACACCAACUCUAGCAUUCCCAAAUGAGGGAUAAACUGAUGGGAGAAGAUAAUACUCCCACACAUCUCCACAACUUUUCCACUACAUUCCCAAAUUGGGGGAGAAGGCAUCACAGUGUAUUUUUUUUACAGAUAAUUACCUCUGUGCAAUCCAAGGGAGUGACGGAAAACAUCUAUG